CCAUGCAGUCGAACGCUGAAGCUGGGUGCUUGCACCUGGUGGAUGAGUGGCGAACGGGUGAGUAAUACGUGAGUGACCUUCCUUGGACUCUGGGAUAAGCCCGGGAAACUGGGUCUAAUACCGGAUACGACCAGUCCUCGCAUGGGGUGCUGGUGGAAAGGGUUUGUACUGGUUCUUGAUGGGCUCACGUCCUAUCAGCUUGUUGGUGAGGUAAUGGCUUACCAAGGCGACGACGGGUAGCCGGCCUGAGAGGGUGACCGGCCACACUGGGACUGAGACACGGCCCAGACUCCUACGGGAGGCAGCAGUGGGGAAUAUUGCACAAUGGGCGCAAGCCUGAUGCAGCGACGCCGCGUGGGGGAUGACGGCCUUCGGGUUGUAAACCUCUUUCAGCAGGGAAGAAGCGAAAGUGACGGUACCUGCAGAAGAAGCGCCGGCUAACUACGUGCCAGCAGCCGCGGUAAUACGUAGGGCGCAAGCGUUGUCCGGAAUUAUUGGGCGUAAAGAGCUCGUAGGCGGUUUGUCGCGUCUGCUGUGAAAGCCCGGGGCUCAACCCCGGGUGUGCAGUGGGUACGGGCAGGCUGGAGUGCAGUAGGGGAGACUGGAAUUCCUGGUGUAGCGGUGAAAUGCGCAGAUAUCAGGAGGAACACC
rnacentral:rRNA from 1 species